rnacentral:lncRNA from 1 species
UGUGCUGUGAAUGUUUUUGCAAAGAAAGUUUUUCAAAACUGCAUUUAAGUGUUAUAAAUUCGACUGUAUGCACAAGCUACUCGACCUAGUUAGUUAUGUUUUGAAAUUCGGUUAAUGCUUGUGAUGUUUAAUGAUUAUAUUUUAUAUCUUUGACCAAGCAUUGAUUGUGAGUCAACUGCAUUAAAUGCAUAAUCAAUUAAG